UGGCUCAGUGGUAGAGCACUUGCCUUGCAUGCACGAGGCCCUGGGUUCGAUUCCUCAG
rnacentral:tRNA from 1 species